AUUGAACGCUAGCGGCAUGCCUUACACAUGCAAGUCGAACGGAGUGGCGAACGGGUGAGUAAUGUAUCGGAACGUGCCCUGUACCGGGGGAUAACUAAGCGUAAGCGUAGCUAAUACCGCAUACUAUUGGAGCGGCCGAUGUCGGUUGAGGUAGUUGGUGGGGUAACGGCUCACAAAGGCGACGAUCCCUAGCUGGUUUGAGAGGGCGACCAGCCACACUGGGACGGAGAGACGGCCCAGACUCCUACGGGAGGCAGCAGUGGGGAAUGUUGGACAAUGGGGGAAACCCGGAUCCAGCCAUCCCGCGUGUGCGAUGAAGGCCUUCGGGUUGUAAAGCACUUUUGGCAGGAAAGCGGUACCUGCAGAAUAAGCACCGGCUAACUACGUGCCAGCAGCCGCGGUAAUAC
rnacentral:rRNA from 1 species